GAUGAACGCUAGCGGCAGGCCUAACACAUGCAAGUCGAGGGGUAGAAGUCUUCGGGCUUUGCGACCGGCGCACGGGUGCGUAACGCGUAUGCAAUCUGCCUUACACUAAGGGAUAGCCCAGAGAAAUUUGGAUUAAUACCUUAUAGUAUAUUGAUGUGGCAUCACAUUAUUAUUAAAGAUUUAUCGGUGUAAGAUGAGCAUGCGUCCCAUUAGCUAGUUGGUAUGGUAACGGCAUACCAAGGCAAUGAUGGGUAGGGGUCCUGAGAGGGAGAUCCCCCACACUGGUACUGAGACACGGACCAGACUCCUACGGGAGGCAGCAGUGAGGAAUAUUGGACAAUGGGCGCCAGCCUGAUCCAGCCAUGCCGCGUGCAGGAUGACGGUCCUAUGGAUUGUAAACUGCUUUUAUACAGGAAGAAACCCUACUACGUGUAGUAGAUUGACGGUACUGUAGGAAUAAGGAUCGGCUAACUCCGUG
rnacentral:rRNA from 1 species